UUGCGAGCAGCCGCGGUAAUACAGAGGGUGCGAGCGUUAAUCGGAAUUACUGGGCGUAAAGCGCACGUAGGCGGCUUGGUAUGUCGGGUGUGAAAUCCCCGGGCUCAACCUGGGAACUGCAUCCGAAACUGCCUUGCUAGAGUAUGGGAGAGGGAAGCGGAAUUUCCGGUGUAGCGGUGAAAUGCGUAGAUAUCGGAAGGAACAUCAGUGGCGAAGGCGGCUUCCUGGACCAAUACUGACGCUCAGGUGCGAAAGCGUGGGGAGCAAACAGGAUUAGAAACCCGGGUAGUCC
rnacentral:rRNA from 1 species